rnacentral:tRNA from 1 species
CCGUCGAUAGCUCAAUUGUUAGAGCGGGAGACUUAGAAGAAACAUUCACUGACAUCUCUAGGUCGCUGGUUCCGAAUCCGGCUCGACGGA